rnacentral:tRNA from 1 species
UGGGGCUGUGGCCAAGCCAGGUAUGGCGACGGGCUCCAGCGACCCGUCGAUCGGGAGUUCAAAUCUCUCCAGCCCCACAUU